GCGGGUGUGGUGUAGUGGUAACACUAAAGCCUUCCAAGCUUUCGUCACGGGUUCGAGUCCCGUCGCCCGCU
rnacentral:tRNA from 1 species